CCCUUCGGGGUGGAUUAGUGGCGAACGGGUGAGUAACACGUGGGCAAUCUGCCCUUCACUCUGGGACAAGCCCUGGAAACGGGGUCUAAUACCGGAUACGAGACGGGGAGGCAUCUCCUCGUCUGGAAAGCUCCGGCGGUGAAGGAUGAGCCCGCGGCCUAUCAGCUUGUUGGUGGGGUAAUGGCCUACCAAGGCGACGACGGGUAGCCGGCCUGAGAGGGCGACCGGCCACACUGGGACUGAGACACGGCCCAGACUCCUACGGGAGGCAGCAGUGGGGAAUAUUGCACAAUGGGCGAAAGCCUGAUGCAGCGACGCCGCGUGAGGGAUGACGGCCUUCGGGUUGUAAACCUCUUUCAGCAGGGAAGAAGCGAAAGUGACGGUACCUGCAGAAGAAGCGCCGGCUAACUACGUGCCAGCAGCCGCGGUAAUACGUAGGGCGCAAGCGUUGUCCGGAAUUAUUGGGCGUAAAGAGCUCGUAGGCGGCUUGUCACGUCGGGUGUGAAAGCCCGGGGCUUAACCCCGG
rnacentral:rRNA from 1 species